UUCCAGACUCCUACGGGAGGCAGCAGUGGGGAAUAUUGGGCAAUGGGCGCAAGCCUGACCCAGCAACGCCGCGUGAAGGAAGAAGGCUUUCGGGUUGUAAACUUCUUUUCUCAGGGACGAAGAAAGUGACGGUACCUGAGGAAUAAGCCACGGCUAACUACGUGCCAGCAGCCGCGGUAAUACGUAGGUGGCAAGCGUUAUCCGGAUUUAUUGGGUGUAGAGGGCGUGUAGGCGGGAGCGCAAGUCAGAUGUGAAAACUCAGGGCUCAACCCUGAGCCUGCAUUUGAAACUGUUUUUCUUGAGUACUGGAGAGGCAGACGGAAUUCCUAGUGUAGCGGUGAAAUGCGUAGAUAUUAGGAGGAACACCAGUGGCGAAGGCGGUCUGCUGGACAGCAACUGACGCUGAGGCGCGAAAGCGUGGGGAGCAAACAGGAUUAGAUACCCGCGUACA
rnacentral:rRNA from 1 species